rnacentral:rRNA from 1 species
GCGCGAAACCUUUACAAUGCACGAAAGUGUGAUAAGGGGAUCCCAAGUGCCCAUGUAUUGCAUGGUCUUUUGCCAAGAGUAAACACCUUGGCGAAUAAGUGGUGGGAAAGACUGGUGCCAGCAGCCGCGGUAACACCAGCGCCACAAGUGGCAAUCACAAUUAUUGGGCCUAAAGCGUCCGUAGCCGGUUUGAUAAAUCUUUUGUGAAAUCAUGGGGCUUAACUCCAUGUCGUGCAGGAGACACUAUCAGACUUGGAACCGGGAGGAGUCAGAGGUAUUCUGGUGGGAGCGGUAAAAUGUUAUAAUCCCCGGAGGACCACCUGUGGCGAAGGCGUCUGACUAGAACGGAUUCGACGGUGAGGGACGAAAGCUGGGGGAGCAAACCGGAUUAGAUACGACCUUUAGCCGUCAAGACUAUGUCUUGACUAUAAAGCUCGAGCAAAUCCACUUAAGUACAACGAAUUUCUUUCAGAAAUUGUUGUACGAACUACGUUUGCAGUAAAAAAAUACUGUGGUGAGUGGAUGUGAGAUUUUUAUGGCUAAUUGUUGCUAAUGACCCGAGUAGUCCCAGCAGUAAACGCUGCGAGCUAGGUGUUGCAUAUUCUUCGUGGGUAUGCAGUGUCGGAGCGAAGGUGUUAAGCUCGCCGCCUGGGAAGUACGGUCGCAAGACUGAAACUUAAAGGAAUUGG